CCUACGGGUGGCAGCAGUGAGGAAUAUUGGUCAAUGGCCGGAAGGCUGAACCAGCCAAGCCGCGUGAAGGACGAAGGUGCCAAGCAUUGUAAACUUCUUUUGUCAAGGGACAAAAUCAGGCGCGAGAGCCUGACCGAGGGGACUUGAAUAAAAAGCAUCGGCUAACUCCGUGCCAGCAGCCGCGGUAAUACGGAGGAUGCGAGGGUGAUCCGGAUUGAUUGGGGUAAAGGGGCGGUUAGGCGGACUGUUAAGUCAGCGGUAAAAGCGCGGGGCCCAACCCCGGCGAGCCGUUGAGACUGGCUGUCUAGAGAAGUCGAGGGGUAUGCGGAAUGCGCGGUGUAGCAGUGAAAUGCUUAGAUAUUGCGCAGAACACCGAUUGCGAAGGCAGCAUACCGGCGGCGAUCUGACGCUGAGGCACGAAGGCGUGGGUAUCGAACGGGAUUAGAUACCCGAGUAGUC
rnacentral:rRNA from 1 species